rnacentral:rRNA from 1 species
GAUGAACGCUAGCUACAGGCUUAACACAUGCAAGUCGAGGGGUCUUGACGGAGCUUGCUCUUGAUAGACGACCGGCGCACGGGUGAGUAACGCGUAUCCAACCUGCCCUUCAUAUUGGGAUAGCCUUCCGAAAGGGAGAUUAAUACCGAAUAACAUAUCAGAAUUGCAUGAUACUGAUAUGAAAGAUCCGUCGAUGAAGGAUGGGGAUGCGUUUCAUUAGGUAGUAGGCGGGGUAACGGCCCACCUAGCCAACGAUGAAUAGGGGUUCUGAGAGGAAGGUCCCCCACACUGGAACUGAGACACGGUCCAGACUCCUACGGGAGGCAGCAGUGAGGAAUAUUGGUCAAUGGACGGAAGUCUGAACCAGCCAAGUCGCGUGAAGGAUGAAGGUUCUAUGGAUUGUAAACUUCUUUUAUACGGAAUAAAACCUCCACGUGUGGGAGCUUGUAUGUACCGUAUGAAUAAGCAUCGGCUAACUCCGUGCCAGCAGCCGCGG